rnacentral:rRNA from 1 species
UACGAAGGGGGCUAGCGUUUUUCGGAAUUACUGGGCGUAAAGCGCACGUAGGCGGAUUUGUUAGUCAGGGGUGAAAUCCCGGGGCUCAACCUCGGAACUGCCUUUGAUACUGCAAGUCUCGAGUCCGGAAGAGGUGAGUGGAAUUCCUAGUGUAGAGGUGAAAUUCGUAGAUAUUAGGAAGAACACCAGUGGCGAAGGCGGCUCACUGGUCCGGUACUGACGCUGAGGUGCGAAAGCGUGGGGAGUACACAGG